CAAUUAGUUUUAAGAACUACAAUUAUUAGACAACUCAACUUAAUAUUUUUGGAGACUUUACUAAACAACUUAAAAGAACGAGUAAGUGGGUAGGACGUGACGUCAUUUCCUAACGGUUCUGGCUCAGAGAGCCGACACCAGGGAUGUGGCAUGGCGGGCUCAGCUACUCCACGGUCUUACUGGACUCCACCGACAAUACCUCAAAUGGAAAACAGCAGAAAAAGAAAAUAUGAGAGAAACUGGAGCGACAGGAAGGCGUGUGUGAGAAAGAGGGGAGGACACCAGCGAAGGACAGCAGGCCAUAUUUGAACUUAGGUCACAGCGUAAAGGACUGAGCCUCACAGGACACGAUCCACUAGCUAUCGAGGCUCCCUAGCUUUUAUUCCUCUUUAAGGUCAACGCAGAGUUUCAACAAAUCACCACCAUAAAUCUUGAGGCAAAAUUCAUGUCAAUUUUGGACCUUCAUUCCCCUAAACUCCUUUCCAGAGAGAAACAUCGUGCAGAAAUGAAUAUUUCCUACAGAGUGGAAUUUCCAUUCAGAAAACCAUAGAAGUCAUCCGAUCAAUCAUCAAUGAUCAAUCAUCAAUCACCUUGGUGAAGAUGAUCAAAGAGUUUGAGGUGAUGGCUGUGUACCUGUUCCGGAAUAAAAGUGGACAGGUCAAUGAUGUUGGGAUCGUCAUUGAAGGUUCCAUUGUACUCAACCAUCUUGGGGAUCUUAGCAGAUCCUGUUGCUUCCUGCUAGCACUGACCCUAUGCUUUGGAUCUGAAAUAUCCCAAAACUCAUGAAUACAUUUUUGAGUUUGCUUGUGGAAGUGGAUUCCGGAAACCUUUCAGCAAAGGUGCAAAGACUGAAACAAUGUGGUCAUAUAGGUUGCUGAGAGGCAGCUGUUCAGAUGAGAAAAUAUGUUUUAUUUAAUCAGACAAUCUCCAGGUGUGGUCAGGCUCAAAGUGUUGGACAGAUUUCAAUUCUUAUAACAAGAAUGAAUUUAUUACGCUUUAUUUUUCCAUGUCUUUGGGUGUAAACACAUUUACAACAUAAGUUCCUUAUGACUGGGCCAUUUAGUUGUUUAUUCCUUUUAAAACAUUGCUCUGGGUUGUCCUUUUAUAUUCGAAGUAGAUGUGUAUAAAAUCAGUGUCUCACCCUGCCUGCAGACUGUAAUGUGUUGUGUAAAUGUAGAAUGCUAAAAGAUGACUACAGUAUUUUUUGAGUGUAAAUGAUUGAUACCCGAUGGCCGGAGUCAAGUUUUUGCAUCUAACAGGUUCAGAUUGUUAUAAGUGUCUAGCGACAUUGUGAAUAGGAUACCUUAUGCACUUCUCACUUAUUUGCGCUAUACUUUGUCAUUGAUGUUGCUACUAGUGUUUCACAUGUGCAUGCAUUGCAAUCAAAUAAAACGUUCAUGUUUUGUGAGA